rnacentral:lncRNA from 1 species
UAUUUGCUCUUUUCUCAUUUCACUAGCUUUAGAUUUGACCCAUGACUUGAAUUGGCCAGUGGACCAUGAGUGCAUACAUAAGACCAAAUAGAGGUCUCCAGUGCCAUUGCUCUAUAUGUGACAUUCUGUGCACUCUGCUCUCUGCCUGAACAUAUGGCCUGCCUCAGAUAGGAGUGGGGCCGCUGACUCGAGUCCUGAGACAAGAACACCUGUGGAGGCCAGCCUAGCUCAGCAGGACUGAGGAAAGUAACAUGGGAUGCCUCUUCUCAUCAGUCAUUCUGUGGUUCUAAAUCUUGCCAAAGAACACCCACUGUAACUGGAUAUACUACGUUAGUUUUUGGUGAAAACCCAGAUUUCUCAAAUCCAUCUUUGCAUCCAGGACUGGGAUUUGGUUCUUGUGGGAGUCAGAGGUGAGUUUCCCCAGGGUGUCCUUCCACGUGUUCUCAAAGAAUCUUGUCUGUCUCCCUUC